GGAGGAAAAGAAACCAACAGGGAUUGCCUCAGUAACGGCGAGUGAAGCGGCAUCAGCUCAAAUUUGAAAUCUGGUCUCACGAUCCGAGUUGUAAUUUGUAGAGAAUGCUUCGGGCGAGGUCCGGUCUAAGUUCCUUGGAACAGGACGUCAUAGAGGGUGAGAAUCCCGUAUGCGACCGGGUGCCUCCGCCCAUGUGAAGCUUCUUCGACGAGUCGAGUUGUUUGGGAAUGCAGCUCAAAAUGGGUGGUAAAUUUCAUCUAAAGCUAAAUACUGGCCAGAGACCGAUAGCGCACAAGUAGAGUGAUCGAAAGAUGAAAAGCACUUUGGAAAGAGAGUUAAACAGUACGUGAAAUUGUUGAAAGGGAAGCGCUUGCAACCAGACUUGCGCGUAGCCGAUCAUCCGGUGUUCUCACCGGUGCACUCGGUUACGCUCAGGCCAGCAUCGGUUUCGGUGGUUGGAGAAAGGCCCGGGGAAUGUAGCUCCUCUCGGGGAGUGUUAUAGCCCUGGGUGCAAUGCAGCCUACCGGGACCGAGGACCGCGCUUCGGCUAGGAUGCUGGCGUAAUGGUUGUAAGCGAC
rnacentral:rRNA from 1 species